AUGGCUGUCUGCAAGCUGGAGAGCCAGGAAAGUUCAUAUCCAUUCUGUCCUAGGAGCUGGAAACCUCAGAAUGAAGGAGACCAGUACACCACCCUCUUCCAUAGCAAAAUCCUGAAAGCUCUGAGAGGUUCACUGGUGGAAAUCCACAUUGAAAGGCUGAAAGAAAAAAUGGCCACCCUCACCUGCAGGACCAGUCAGAAUGUUAGCAACUACCUAGCCUGGUACCAGCAGAAACCUGGACAGGCUCCCAGGCUCCUCAUCUAUGGUGCCUCCAGCAGUGCCACAGGCAUCCCUGCCCAGUUCACUGGCAGUGGGUCAGGGACAGACUUUACUCUCAGCAUCAGCAGCCUGAAGCCUGAAGAUAUUGGAGUUUAUCACUGCUACCAGUAUAGUAACUGGCACAAAGUGAUGGGGGUGGGGGUCAACUGA